GACAGAGGAGCCAAGCGUUGUCCGGACUGACUGGGCGUAAAGCGCCCGCAGGCGGCCGUGCACGUGGGGUGUGAAAGCUCGCGGCUUAACUGCGAGAGGCCAUCCCAUACGGCGCGGCUCGAGCCGUCCAGAGGCCGGUGGAAUUCCCGGUGUAGUGGUGAAAUGCGUAGAUAUCGGGAGGAACACCAGUGGCGAAGGCGACUUCCUGGCCUGUUCUUGACGCUGAGGCGCGAAAGCUAGGGGAGCAAACGGG
rnacentral:rRNA from 1 species